UACGUAGGCAGCGAGCGUUGUUCGGAGUUACUGGGCGUAAAGGGUGCGUAGGCGGUUGUUUAAGUUUGGUGUGAAAUCUCCCGGCUCAACUGGGAGGGUGCGCCGAAUACUGAAUGGCUAGAGUGCGGGAGAGGAGAGUGGAAUUCCUGGUGUAGCGGUGAAAUGCGUAGAUAUCAGGAGGAACACCGGUGGUGUAGACGGCUCUCUGGACCGUAACUGACGCUGAGACACGAAAGCGUGGGUAGCAAACAGG
rnacentral:rRNA from 1 species